UCAGCAGAGCACCUCAGGGACGUUGUCAGCCCUGUCCUCAGUCCAGGUAAAACUGAACUCUACCCUGACUAACUCAGACCUGCCCUGUCACUGUGGACUUGCCUGUGGGUGACAGGGCUGCCUCUGCCCCUGACGUGGUGACUUCAGCUCACACCUGAGCCCCAGACCUGCCUCAUCACCUGGGCAGGUCGUGCUUCUGGCUGAGCCUGAUCACGGCUUCCAGGUGACUGGAAGUCAAAGAAAUUGUCAAAGAAAUAGUACCAAAGACACAACUAUAUCAUAAAUCCAGAAGCUGUGGAGUUGCAGGCAAAAAGAACCCCAGAACCAAAGGACUUGGAGGUGCAGGUUAAAACUAAGCACAGUCCUUCAGCUUUGGUGGAAGAUACCAGGACUUUGUCUGGGAGUGUUUUGGAACUGGAACUUCAUGGAUGCCAGAGUUAUCAUCAAGGUCAUACUAAAUAACAAAAAAUAAACUUUCUCACUAGAUUUUGCAAAUUACUGGUUAAUAAAGUAUCUAAUUCAUA